rnacentral:rRNA from 1 species
GAUGAACGCUGGCGGCGUGCAUAACACAUUCAAGUCGAACGGGUAGAAGAUGGAACCGAGGAGCAAGGAGACUUGCGACUGGGUUCUAUCUUCUGUCAGUGGCGGACGGGUGAGUAACGCGUGAGCAACCUGCCUUUCAGAGGGGGAUAACACAUGGAAACGUGUGCUAAUACCGCAUAACACAUAGAGAUCGCAUGGUUUUUAUGUCAAAGGAGCAAUCCGCUGAAAGAUGGGCUCGCGUCCGAUUAGGCAGUUGGUGAGGUAACGGCUCACCAAACCGACGAUCGGUAGCCGGACUGAGAGGUUGAACGGCCACAUUGGAACUGAGAAACGGUCCAGACUCCUACGGGAGGCAGCAGUGGGGAAUAUUGGGCAAUGGGGGAAACCCUGACCCAGCGACGUCGCGUGAGGGAAGAAGGUCUUCGGAUUGUAAACCUUUGUCAACAGGGAAGAAGCAAGUGACGGUACCUGAAGAGGAAGCCACGGCUAACUACGUGCCAGCAGCCGCGGUAAUACGUAGGUGGCGAGCGUUAUCCGGAAUUACUGGGUGUAAAGGGUGUGUAGGCGGGGAUGCAAGUCAGAUGUGAAAUCCAUGGGCUCAACCUAUGGUGUGCAUUUGAAACUGCGUUUCUUGAGUGUGGGAGAGGUAAGCGGAAUUCCUAGUGUAGCGGUGAAAUGCGUAGAUAUUAGGAGGAACACCAGUGGCGAANGCGGCUUACUGGACCACAACUGACGCUGAGACACGAAAGCGUGNGGAGCAAACAGGAUUAGAUACCCUGGUAGUCCACGCUGUAAACGAUGAAUGCUANGUGUAGGGGGCUUGACCCUCU